GGGGAUAUAGCUCAGUGGUAAAGUACUUGCCUAGCAUGCUUGAGGGCCUGGGUUCAAUUCCUAGUACAUCA
rnacentral:tRNA from 1 species